rnacentral:lncRNA from 1 species
GCCCCCUGACCUAGUAGUCGCUGGCACAAGCUGCGCCCGGAGACGUGGGAGCGUUCUCUUGUUUUCCGAGUGCGCGGACUCAUCGGGUCACAGUUUAUGCUUUUAUGACGCGGGAACACAACAGAUUUGAGAAGCCUCGGAUUAAGGAAUAAUUUAUGAAGCUCCGUUGACUACCGUGGAGAGAUCAUAAUUUGGGGUUCAAGAUUCCAGUCUGUGUUUUUCCAGAGGUGCCCUGAGGAGCAGGGAAGCAUGGCUAUUGUGGAUGUAAAAGCCAUGUUCAAGGUGGCGGUUAGUUGGGGCCAGGGAAGCGUGGAGGGUGGGUUCCAAUCGAGUCAAGAAAAGCCUGGGGUGUCCUGAACUCUGCCUGCUUCCCCAGCCCUGCCAGUUUCCAGAGAAGGCGCUUGAGAAGGAGAAACGAAUCGCUGCUGCUCUUCUAAAAGCCGGUUCCCUGCUAGAGUGCAGUGGCGUGAUCUCGGCUCACUGCAACCUCCGCCUCCCGGGUUCAAGCAAUUCUCCUGCCUCAGCCUCCCAAGUAGCUGGGACCACAGGCACAUGCCACCAUGCUCAGCUCUGGUGUCUGUGGACCCUGCUUCUGAAG